AAAGUCGUAACAAGGUUUCCGUAGGUGAACCUGCGGAAGGAUCAUUACUGAUUUGGCGAACCGAGCGUUAGCAAGGUUCUGCGAUCACUUGUAUUUAAAACCCAACUCUUUUAAUGUAUAUUUAUUAUGUAUUAAUGAUAAAAUUAAGAUCACUUUCAACAACGGAUCUCUUGGCUCUC
rnacentral:misc_RNA from 1 species